ensembl:lncRNA
AAAUGUCAAGCUCCACAGAGAAUCUGAGCAGUGCUGUUAGGGCCAAAAGUGCAGUUUUAGAGCCCCAGGAUCUGAGAGAAAAAAAUGAUUUGCAAAUGCCCAAAUAUGUCUAAUUGACCUGAAAUAUAGCCUGUGUGCAGGAACUGUUUGAAAUCAAUAUGGAGAGCGAAAAAAAUAUCCUUGAAGGAACAUUUCAGAAGAUCAUACCGCAUGUCUUUCGAAGCAGCAUUAUGAAGUAUGCAAGAAUUAUGAAAACAAUCAAGAAGUCAUGAAAGGUCAUGUAAAUUAAAACUACAGCGGUUGCGGCAAAUUAACGAGGAGUGCGGAACAGCUGUUUUUCACCAGUAUAACAGCAGCACACUGAGCAUUGCUGUAGAUUAUGUGAAUAUUUUGUAGACAUGGACGCCAUUUGUGAGUGAAUUCACACAUAAUGUAUUCCCCCUGUAUUUAUUCAUUGUGUGUCUUUAGUGAGGUAAAUCAAUAAGCAGUAUUCCCAGCCUUGAUUGGAUUCACAAUUAGCUCUAGAAAGAGACUCCCUGACAGUAGGCAUGUUGGAUUCAGAACAACUAACCUGAUUGUCUUUCCCUCACAUCAACCGCCAGUCCACGCCAUCCUCUCUGCUGUCCAGGUGCCUUGUGGGUAACGGUGAGGACUGGAGUGAAGUUCCUCCCGUGUGGCAGGUGGGCCGUGACAGCUCCAAGAUGCUCUUUGACCUGAGAGGAAGGGAAAACAACAUCAAUGGGUGAAGCAUCACUCAAGGAUUUGACUGAUCUUCUCACAGAAUCAAUCAUUUUGUGUGCCGUGGGGGUAUGUUUUCAAAAGUGUGCCUUGGUACUGAGAACACUGAGAAUCACUGUGUUAGAAAAGAGCAAUUGAAGGUAAGGAGCUUUUAAGAAAGAGUUGCUGGAUCUUUGAGAACAUUCUUGAGGCCCUUUUCCCCUCUUUUGGAGAAACCCAGGCAGAUAAAAGGAAACACUCGGGUGGAUUAAAGUGUUCAGAAUGUAUCAGCAUCAAACCACUAGAGUUUUUGCCCUCUACAUUUUUCAAACACAGUCAAUAGAUCUAAAUAUUUUACUGUGCCCUGGCCGAUUUAUUGUUUGAUGUUUAAAAACUUGUGUGGAAUGAAAGAAAAUUCAUUAAAGAAGAUGGCCCCAGAACGAGGCCUUACGAUCAGCUUUGAAAGUCUAGUUUAACUGGGAUAUUGAUCAUUCUCUUUCUUCUGUGACAAAGGCCACCAGGGACGCUGGAGGUGUCGGUGGAUGAAGGCGCGCUGCCAAUAACACCAGACAUGUGUGUAUACACUGUAGGUGAGGCUGGGAAUUGCACUACUGACACUGAAAAAUCCAAUAACUCAAAAAUGACCAAACAAACAUCACACUCUUGAUUCCACGCCGGUCAAAAGAAGAUGCAGUCUAUAUCCUGGUUUAGAUGAAGCAAUGUGCACUUCUGAUUUUUAAGAUGCAUGACAGAUAAGACUGCGAUAUUUGUGGACUUAAUAAUAGAGCUUAGUGAGUCAACUGUGCCUCUUUUUCAUUGAGCAACCAAACAUUUAUAGGGGAAUUUGAUCUGAUCGCACUUACAGCUCUUAAUCAGGAGCUGUUCCACCACUGACAAUGAUUACUGACACUGAUAGGAAUUCACAAAUGAGAGCUAUCAUAAAAGAAAUGUCUUGUAUUCAGGUUCUAUUCUAGUGGAUAUUCCCUUUAGGUUGUCCAAAGUCAGUAUGCCUGAGGGUGAACUUUAAAACAUUCAGGCUUUACUGCAGGUAUAGGUAUAGCUAUACCCUUCACGGUCGACAAAAUCGUCACUGUACCAAAAAAGUCCUCCGCACAAGCUGGAAACACAACAUAGAUUUCUGACAGAGGAGAAAGCUCCAUCAUAGAAAUCUUUUUUUAAAUGUAUAUUACAGAAAUUCUGCACAGUAAAGCAAAACUUGAUAUGCUUAAGUAAUUCCAGCUUAGAUUGCCAUCAAAGAUAACUCCUUAAAUGUCUGGCAACUUUCUUGACAUCAGGAGACAGACUAACCACAGCAUAAUUAAUUAAAUCUUGGGAACAUGCGGGGCAAAGAGUUCUUUUCCCUGAGCUACAAAAAAUAUUAGACAAGCGAGACUUGAUAACUGUCAGAAGGUACUUUGAAGAUGGCCAGGCUAUUUAGACUGAUACUUUAAAGACAGAUAUAACGACAUAUCAUCAGUGCAUCAGUGUCAGAAGAAAAUCUGCAGGUUGUGCAAUUUGUAGAAGUUCUGAAAAUGCAAAUUGCAUACCCCAUAUCCCUGUAUGUGUAUAAGAUCAAACAUAAUCAAAACAUGAAAUUAAAUUUUGACCAUGAAGCUAAUCAUAGCAAAGUAAUGUUUGUGUGAGAAUGUAAAUACAUGUAAGCAACGUAGAAAACAAAUUACAUGAUUGCAGUGCAUUCAUCAUCCUUCGUACAGGCCUGCACACAGAGGUGAUUAAGCUGGUUUCCCCUUGACACUGACACAUUGGGGAGAUGCAGUUUCCUAAAAAAGUUCAGCUUUCAUUUUAGAUUAAUAUAUAUGCCUUUUAAAAUAUUUCCCCAAUUUGAUCAGGACAACCAACGAGAGUUUGAAAGAGCUCACAGAGAGAGGAUACAAUAAUUUGGAAAAUAAUGUAUUUUCUAAUGAAUUAUAAUAAACAUUACAAAGCAAAUUACAGAGCAAAUUAUGGUUGUUUUUUUCAAGACUACAGUUUUCAGUGUGUGGAGAAAGGGAUUGAAUUUCACACAUAUCAGUGCAGCUCCUGACCCAAAUCAUGGAAAUAGCAGAAUACCUUGCCUUGCCUUAAUUCUAUAAAGGACUAGUGAGAUAAUGAUGUGUGAGCAGAAUGCUUACACAAUCUAUGUUAUGAAAUUGUGAGAUGUUAACAGGACAGCCCUUUCAUUUUUACAGUGUUUUAAUUUGUUUUUCACUGCAUCAAUACAUUGUUGUUUCGAUAAUGGCUCUAUAAUGUAUAAUUCAACAUAAAACUUCUCUGCUUUUCUGAUUAGGCACAUGAAAAACAAUCUUGUUUGCAAGAAAUGACCCUCCUUCAAAAAUUGAAUCAGUUUUUGGCACAGCUGUGACCAUGCAACUUGGCCAGUUUACAUAAAAAUGCACCUCUUCUCUUUCCAAGCAUCAGUUACUGAUUUCCAUAUUUUCCUGCUCCAACCAUGACUCUAAUCUCAAGGUCUGUGUGUUUCAGUAUGGCAACAAUUCCUAUAAGACUAUAUCUCCCACAAUAAUCUGAAAUGGACUAAA